GGUUAACGCUGGCGGCGUGCCUAACACAUGCAAGUCGAACGGUUCUAAGCGCGAGCUUAGGAUAGUGGCGAACGGGUGAGUAAAAGGUAGGAAUCUACCCCUUGGACGGAGAUAGCUACUGGAAACGGUAGGUAAACUUCGAUAAGCCCGAGAGGGGAAAGUGGUGAGACAGCCGAGGGAUGAGCCUACUCUCCAUCAGGUAGUUGGUGAGAUAAAAGCUUACCAAGCCGAUGACGGAUAACCGGUGUGAGAGCAUGAACGGUCACAAGGGCACUGAGAGACGGGCCCUACUCCUACGGGAGGCAGCAGUGGGGAAUCUUGGACAAUGGGCGAAAGCCUGAUCCAGCGACGCCGCGUGGAGGAAGAAGUCCUUCGGGAUGUAAACUUCUGAACUAGCCGAAUAAAAGGCCUGUGGACACACAGGAGAAGAAAGUAAGGCUAGGAAAAGUCCGGCUAACUACGUGCCAGCAGCCGCGGUAAGAUAGCGUACU
rnacentral:rRNA from 1 species